CACCUCUCAAGCUCGGCUUGCUGUUGAAUCUUGGUUAUACUCUCGGUGUAAUCGAUUCUAAAGAUAGUGACGGUGUCUGUGAGAACCCUGGUACACGGAGCUUUUUAUAGCACGUACUUGACGGAAUUCCAGACCCGGUUUUACCCAUAAUUUUUAUCAAGGUUGACCUCGGAUCAGGUAGGAGUACCCGCUGAACUUAA
rnacentral:misc_RNA from 1 species